UAGGGAAUUUUGCGCAAUGGGGGAAACCCUGACGCAGCAACGCCGCGUGUGUGAUGAAGCCCUUCGGGGUGUAAAACACUGUCAGUGGGGACGAAACUUGACGGUACCCACAAAGGAAGCACCGGCUAACUCCGUGCCAGCAGCCGCGGUAAUACGGAGGGUGCAAGCGUUGUCCGGAAUCAUUGGGCGUAAAGCGUUCGUAGGCGGCAUACCAAGUCUGGUGUUAAAGCCCGAGGCUCAACCUCGGAUCGGCACUGGAUACUGGUAAGCUAGAAUACGGUAGAGGUGAAGGGAAUUCCUGGUGUAGCGGUGAAAUGCGUAGAUAUCAGGAGGAACAUCGGUGGCGAAAGCGCUUCACUGGGCCGUUAUUGACGCUGAGGAACGAAAGCCGGGGGAGCAAAUG
rnacentral:rRNA from 1 species